rnacentral:rRNA from 1 species
UACGUAGGUGGCGAGCGUUGUCCGGAUUUACUGGGCGUAAAGGGCUUGUAGGCGGUCCGUUAAGUCCGAUGUGAAAUCUCCCGGCUCAACUGGGAGAGGUCAUUGGAUACUGGCGGACUAGAGGAGGGUAGAGGAAAGCAGAAUUCCUGGUGUAGCGGUGAAAUGCGUAGAUAUCAGGAGGAAUACCAGUGGCGAAGGCGGCUUUCUGGGCCUACCCUGACGCUGAGGAGCGAAAGCGUGGGGAGCAAACCGG